UUUGGAUAGUCUUUUUACAGCAAUCUCUUGCCCAUUAAGUAGCAGACCCUUAUAAACUGGGCCAAAACCACCCUGUCCAAGUAUGUUAGCUGGAGAGAAAUUGUUAGUGGCACCAAGCAUAGCGCUGAUACCAAAAAAUUCCAAGUGUGGAUUGAUUUCAAUUCCACCAAGCCCAUUUUCCGUCAAUCCAUCUUCAUGGAAGCUUAAACCAUCCAUAGGAUGAACUGAUCUUUUGUUCUUUUUGUCUCUCGUUGUCCUUUUCUUACUCCCCUUACUGAACCACAAAUACGCAAAUAUGAAUAUGACAAACCAUGCUGAAACAGAAGAAAGUACCAAAAUGGCUAUCAUCCCCUUUGUUUCAAAAAACCCUUUUGAUUUCCUUGCAAUCUCAGCUAAUUCAAGAGCAUCAACACGAAUAUACAGAUCAUACUUGCUUUCAUCCCCAAAAUUUACCGUAUCUAUUAAUACUCCAUACCAUGCCAAGCAACCCAUCCCUUUCCCAGCAAUGGGUAUGCUUGCAUAUGCAGCACACGAGCAAUUUCUCUUGCAUUCCUGUUCACAAUCCGACUGACUCAUACUCAUGUCCACCCAAACUGCUGCAGAAGUGUCAGGAACCUUAACAUGUUCCACUUUGACAAACCCUUCUCCAUGACCACACACCGACGAAGAUUCAAGUCGCUUCCUUACACACCCACUUGAUCCGUCUCUUAGAUGCCAGUCCUUUGGGGACUUGGGUUCAUACCCAGGUAAAC
rnacentral:misc_RNA from 1 species